UCAUCCUUCAAAACCCAGCUCGAGUGCCUU
rnacentral:piRNA from 1 species